rnacentral:rRNA from 1 species
AGAUACCGUCGUAGUCCUAACUAUAAACUAUGUCAACUGGGGAUUGGAUGAAAACAAACAAGAGAGAUUAAUUUUCAAUUUGGAAGUUAAUUUUAAUUGUUACUCUCUUAUUCAGGAUCUAAAGGGAAACCUUUAAGUGAAUGGACUUCAGGGGGAGUAUGGUCACAAGGCUGAAACUUAAAGGAAUUGACGGAAGGGCACACCAGGAGUGGAGCCUGCGGCUUAAUUUGACUCAACACGGGAAAACUUACCAAGACCG